GACAGAGGUCCCAAGCGUUAGGCGGAAUCACUGGGCUUAAAGCGUGUGUAGGCGGACUUCUAAGUACCUUGUGAAAUCCCACGGCUCAAUCGUGGAACUGCUUGGUAUACUGGUUGUCUUGGGCCAUCUAGGGGCUAGCGGAACAAACGGUGGAGCGGUGAAAUGCGUAGAUAUCGUUUGGAACGCCAAUGGUGAAAACAGCUAGCUGGGGAUGUGCCGACGCUGAGACACGAAAGCCAGGGGAGCGAACGGG
rnacentral:rRNA from 1 species